GUGCUCGCUUCGGCAGCACAUAUACUAAGAUUGGAACGAUACAGAGAAGAUUAGCACGGCCCCUG
rnacentral:snRNA from 1 species